rnacentral:lncRNA from 1 species
UUUAUUUUGUUUGUACCAUCUAUUUGUUGUUGACCCAAAUUCUAUUAGACAUGAUUAAGACUAUAUUUUUAAAUUCUGAUAUAUUUCAAAACUUGUGGGGGUUACACUCUUUUAUCAGUUUGAUAAAUUUUGAUAUUAUAAUUGCUCUCGUGAUUUUAUCCUAGUAUUCAUCUUGGAAACGAAUUUUGCAAAUUCUAAGAUUGGCAAGUAAAUUAUUUUGAGACAUAAAUUUAUUAGAUGGUUAUUUUCAUAAUAUUACUUAUUUGAUUUUUAUCAAAUCUGAACAGAAUUUUGCAGAUUAUUUGACGAACGGCCUGAAUAGGACUAAGGUCCUGGAGUCAUCGUGAGGGAUGGGACUUGCCCGUAAAGGGCCUUCCUGCAGUGGGAACCCAACCUUUGUGAUUGGAGAUCUCUUGAAGAAGGUUCAAUGUGGUAAAAACAAGCUGUCAGGUUGGCCAAAGAGCACUUUCUACAAAUUUUAUAUAGGAGCUUUAGCUCCAAUCCCAUCCCUAUGGUGAGUAGUGCUCUAUGUAGUGGAUUAGGUUGAGCUGAAAGCUCUUAAUGGGAUCCAAGACGGUAAUUUCCGCGAGAUGUGACUCUACACGCAUUUCUGGAGGAGACCACCUAUAUAAGAGUAUCCGUAUGUGGCCGCGGCUAUGUGAAUGGGCUAUACAUAGAAACUCUUAUGAAAAAUCAAGGCACUGUGCAUGGCCAUUAACGCACAGACCCGCGACGGAGAAUUCUAUACUGUGUGUGUGGUAGUUGAAGUCAGGGCCAAAGGAACGUAGUUCAAGACCUGGUUCACUCCGAUUCCUUCUGAUGGAAACUAUUUACACUAAGUGGGGUUAAGUCCUUAAAGACACCUCGCCUACUGCAUAGUAUAAACACCCGGUGAUUUAUUCAUUUAUUUAUUUUAAUUUUUAAGUUUCAUUUCUAUUUUGAGAUUUUGAAUUUUGUGGGGGAUUGUUGGUGUAAAAUCCAAAAUCUCUAAAUAUUAUUUAAUUAUUUUAUUCUCAUUAAUUGUCUUUUAUUAUGUUAAUUAAUUGAAUAAAUUUAAUUUUAUUUUAUUACU